GUUUUAACACUUCUUUAUCUACUAAAGGAUGUGGUCAAAGCAAGGAAGAUGGCCACUGAGAUGAUGCUACUGGAGAGGCUGUCCCACCCGCCAUAAUACCUCAUGAAUGCUGCAGCUUUAUCAUCUUGGACAACAGAAAGGCGACCUUUGGCCUGGACUCUGCCUGCACACUUUUAAGCAUAUACACGUGACCAAAGGAGUUACAGGUUUUGUGAUUAUUGGUUUCAGGGUAAAUCCUGGAAGCAGAAGCAGCUUUUGAGCACAGCAAGGCAACAGUCAAAUUGCUUUGAGAAGAGUUUCAAUCCUGAGCUGACCUCUCCCCCACUUCUUCCAUUUUUCCACUCUUUCAAUCCAGAGACAGGUCUCAAUAAGGGCAACUCUCCAGUGCCAUGUGGCAGAAGCCCCUGCCUGCCUGCUGGAAGGGAGCCCUGAGCUAUCAGAGCCUUCAGCAGCCUGGACAUCAGGGCUGCGCACACAGCAGCUUCAUGUUUGAUUGAAAAGGAAGCUGGCCUCCAUCUCCAUCUUCUUGUCUACUGAGGCCUGUUUGGAGAUAACCCUGGCCAAGAUACGCACUGCGGAUCACAGCGGAUCACUUAAAAUCCUUCCACCCUUUGCGCACCGCCUCAAGUCUCCCCUUCUGUUUCCACACCCCACACACGUUGUUUUCUAAAGAUUAGAAGGAA